CCCGGUAAACGGCGGCCGUAACUAUAACGGUCCUAAGGUAGCGAAAUUCCUUGUCGGGUAAGUUCCGACCUGCACGAAUGGCGUAACGAUGGCGGCGCUGUCUCCACCCGAGACUCAGUGAAAUUGAAAUCGCUGUGAAGAUGCAGUGUAUCCGCGGCUAGACGGAAAGACCCCGUGAACCUUUACUGUAGCUUUGCACUGGACUUUGAGCCUGCUUGUGUAGGAUAGGUGGGAGGCUUUGAAGCGUGGACGCCAGUUCGCGUGGAGCCAUCCUUGAAAUACCACCCUGGCAUGCUUGAGGUUCUAACUCUGGUCCGUAAUCCGGAUCGAGGACAGUGUAUGGUGGGCAGUUUGACUGGGGCGGUCUCCUCCUAAAGAGUAACGGAGGAGUACGAAGGUGCGCUCAGACCGGUCGGAAAUCGGUCGUAGAGUAUAAAGGCAAAAGCGCGCUUGACUGCGAGACAGACACGUCGAGCAGGUACGAAAGUAGGUCUUAGUGAUCCGGUGGUUCUGUAUGGAAGGGCCAUCGCUCAACGGAUAAAAGGUACUCCGGGGAUAACAGGCUGAUACCGCCCAAGAGUUCAUAUCGACGGCGGUGUUUGGCACCUCGAUGUCGGCUCAUCACAUCCUGGGGCUGAAGCCGGUCCCAAGGGUAUGGCUGUUCGCCAUUUAAAGUGGUACGCGAGCUGGGUUUAGAACGUCGUGAGACAGUUCGGUCCCUAUCUGCCGUGGACGUUUGAGAUUUGAGAGGGGCUGCUCCUAGUACGAGAGGACCGGAGUGGACGAACCUCUGGUGUUCCGGUUGUCACGCCAGUGGCAUUGCCGGGUAGCUAUGUUCGGAAAAGAUAACCGCUGAAAGCAUCUAAGCGGGAAACUUGCCUCAAGAUGAGAUCUCACUGGGAACUUGAUUCCCCUGAAGGGCCGUCGAAGACUACGACGUUGAUAGGCUGGGUGUGUAAGCGUUGUGAGGCGUUGAGCUAACCAGUACUAAUUGCCCGUGAGGCUUGACCAU
rnacentral:rRNA from 1 species